rnacentral:rRNA from 1 species
GACGAACGCUGGCGGCGUGCUUAACACAUGCCAGUCGAACGGAAAGGCCCUGCUUUUGUGGGGUGCUCGAGUGGCGAACGGGUGAGUAACACGUGAGUAACCUGCCCUUGACUUUGGGAUAACUUCAGGAAACUGGGGCUAAUACCGGAUAGGAGCUCCUGCUGCAUGGUGGGGGUUGGAAAGUUUCGGCGGUUGGGGAUGGACUCGCGGCUUAUCAGCUUGUUGGUGGGGUAGUGGCUUACCAAGGCUUUGACGGGUAGCCGGCCUGAGAGGGUGGCCGGCCACAUUGGGACUGAGAUACGGCCCAGACUCCUACGGGAGGCAGCAGUGGGGAAUAUUGCACAAUGGGCGGAAGCCUGAUGCAGCAACGCCGCGUGCGGGAUGAAGGCCUUCGGGUUGUAAACCGCUUUCGCCUGUGACGAAGCGUGAGUGACGGUAAUGGGUAAAGAAGCACCGGCUAACUACGUG